rnacentral:rRNA from 1 species
AACGAACGCUGGCGGCAUGCCUAACACAUGCAAGUCGAACGAGACCUUCGGGUCUAGUGGCGCACGGGUGCGUAACGCGUGGGAACCUGCCCUUAGGUUCGGAAUAACUCCCCGAAAGGGGUGCUAAUACCGGAUAAUGUCUUCGGACCAAGAUUUAUCGCCUUUGGGUGGGCCCGCGUUGGGUUAGCUUGUUGGUAGGGUAAAAGCCUACCAAGGCGACGGUCCAUAGCUGGGCUGAGAGGAUGGUCAGCCACACCGGGACUGAGACACGGCCCAGACUCCUACGGGAGGCAGCAGUGGGGAAUAUUGGACAAUGGGCGCAAGCCUGAUCCAGCAAUGCCGCGUGAGUGAUGAAGGCCUUAGGGUUGUAAAGCUCUUUUACCCGGGAUGAUAAUGACAGUACCGGGAGAAUAAGCUCCGGCUAACUCCGUG